ACACUGACGAGUCAUUAUCCUCCCAGCUCCACAGUUUGCAUUAGAGGUCCCUCCUGGUGUUGUACCUUCCAUGGGAGUUGAUGUUGUACAUCAGCAGUUGCCCCAGGGAAGCCUAUCCAAAUGAAAUGGGCAAGUCUGGUGAUGCUAACCUAUUUCCAAAUGACUUGCUUUGGAAAAGAGCGUAUAAGAUUGAGGAGAAGUGCAAAAGAAAGAAGGAAAGGCAAGAAGGAAGGAAGAAGACAGAGAAAAGAGAAAGGACUACCCCCUCACCCCCAGUCUGUGAAGCUCUUCACAGAUGGAGAAUAUUGCAUAUCCAUUUCAUGUUAAACGACAUCUCAAGAUCAACGACCUUAUUCAAGAAAGAAAAUGUCUUGGUCAGUUACAGCGUGUGUGUAUCAACAGAUUCCAGGUGAUGGACAGGUCGCUUCAUUUUGAUCGUCUGUUCGUGUACAGUGACCUGUGGCCUUUCCAGAAGAGGUAAAAUAAAUCCUCCUGGUGUUGCCCCCUCCUGCCUCCCUCCGGCCCUGUCAUAUGUCUGUCUUCUCCAUCUGAGAGCCACCAAGGAUUGACAGAGCCCAUGACGAUCGGCCACAGCCUGGGACCUGUGGUCACCUGAGCACCUGCUGCAGAGGCGUGCAACACCUGCCCCAGACCUUCCCAAGGCCUCUCAGUGCUGCCCACAGCUAAGCCCUGUGCCCCAAAGUGUGCUGCAUGCCUAGAAAUGGUAUGCAGGAUAGACCAAGGGGGCCCACUGCUCACAGUCUGUUGCAUUUUAUCAGUUACUAAUUUUGAGGCAUAUGUCACCAAUGUAAUUGCUGAGGCAAGGUUAAAAUGAGCAUUUCAGUUUAAAAAAUCAUAGUUUUAAAAUAAAAAUAUUAAGUACGGAAAAGUGCAUGUGAAUUUGGCAGGUAUUGCUCAGAUCACAUGGAAAUGAUUAGAUUUGGGGCACGUUACCUGAGCCAGAGCUGCCAGGCUGAAUGUACUGUAUGUCACCGAAGUUACACGAGCAGCACACUUAGGUGGGCAUGGCUUUGGGGGCCUCCCUUCAUUUCCCUGAGUCUCAGUUUACCUACCUGGAAAAUCCAGGAACUGGACUAGAUCAGUGAUUCACAGCCCUGCCUUCACAUUUAAUUCACUUAGGGCAAAUUUUUAAAAUACUGAUGCCUGCCAUCCUCUCCAGACCAACUCAGUGAACGUCACUGGGGGUUAGGCCAGGCAUCUGUAUUUCAAAAAAGCUUCUCCAGGUGAUUAUGUUCUAGCAGGAUGGGCCCUAGAUACAAUGAGGUCUGAGUUUCCUCCCAGAUCAACGGAUUUUCCUGAUCCUGUAGGCAGACUACAAAUGCAGAGUGGUUGUUGAUUCAGUGACAGUGGAGGAGGCUCAUUGCCCCCUGUAGGCUUGGCCACAGCAAGUGUGAUAGUUAACUACUGUCCAAGCUUGGUCAGCACUGAUCUGGAAGCUCCCUGAGGGUGGGGACUAUGUCCUUUAUCUGGGUUUUGCCAGUUCUUACCCUGGUGCUUAGUAGAGUGUAAGUGCUCAAUAAAUAUUGGAUGAAAUAAUGAGGGUUGAAGUUCAGGAACAUAUUUAAUCAGGGCAUCUAGGAUUCAUCAAGCAGUUGGAAAUUAGUAACCAAACUCUUAAGAGACUAGUUUUUAUACCGGAAUUCCAGUUUGUUUCCAAAGGGAGCCCUCUGGGUCCAAGAAGUGGAACCACUCUUUGUCCCAUUGCAGUCCCUUCUUGGUGAAUGGAUCAGGAGGUUACUUGGUGAGCACAGAACCAAAGCUGGACCUUCUUAUGUGCUAUUCCUAUUGAGUUCUGAUGAUCUGGUGGCCUGGCCUCCACUUCUUUAAGGCUAUUUUUAUGUAAAGAGUCAGGCUCAGUCAUCCAGAACCAGAGCAGCUGGAGGACCUCCUGGU